rnacentral:rRNA from 1 species
UACGAAGGGGGGCUAGCGUUGCUCGGAUUGACUGGGCGUAAAGGGCGCGUAGGCGGUUUGCACAGUCAGACGUGAAAUUCCUGGGCUUAACCUGGGGGCUGCGUUUGAUACGUGCAGGCUUGAGUUCGGAAGAGGGUCGUGGAAUUCCCAGUGUAGAGGUGAAAUUCGUAGAUAUUGGGAAGAACACCGGUGGCGAAGGCGGCGACCUGGUCCGAUACUGACGCUGAGGCGCGAAAGCGUGGGGGAGCAAACAGG